GAUGAACGCUGGCGGCGUGCUUAACACAUGCAAGUCGAACGGUGAACACGGAGCUUGCUCUGUGGGCUCAGUGGCGAACGGGUGCGUAACACGUGAGCAACCUGCCCCUGACUCUGGGAUAAGCGCUGGAAACGGCGCCUACUACUGGACAUGUGACGUGACCGCAUGGUCUGCGUUUGGAAAGAUUUUUCGGUUGGGGAUGGGCUCGCGGCCUAUCAGCUUGUUGGUGAGGUAAUGGCUCACCACGGCGUCGACGGGUAGCCGGCCUGAGAGGGUGACCGGCCACACUGGGACUGAGACACGGCCCAGACUCCAACGGGAGGCAGCAGUGGGGAAUAUUGCACAAUGGGCGCAAGCCUGAUGCAGCAACGCCGCGUGAGGGAUGACGGCCUUCGGGUUGUAAACCUCUUUUAGCAGAGAAGAAGCGAAAGUGACGGUACCUGAAGAAAAAGCGCCGGCUAACUACGUG
rnacentral:rRNA from 1 species